rnacentral:rRNA from 1 species
AUUGAACGCUGGCGGCAGGCUUAACACAUGCAAGUCGAGCGGGGUGAUGGUGCUUGCACUAUCACUUAGCGGCGGACGGGUGAGUAAUGCUUAGGAAUCUGCCUAUUAGUGGGGGACAACAUCUCGAAAGGGAUGCUAAUACCGCAUACGUCCUACGGGAGAAAGCAGGGGAUCACUUGUGACCUUGCGCUAAUAGAUGAGCCUAAGCCGGAUUAGCUAGUUGGUGGGGUAAAGGCCUACCAAGGCGACGAUCUGUAGCGGGUCUGAGAGGAUGAUCCGCCACACUGGGACUGAGACACGGCCCAGACUCCUACGGGAGGCAGCAGUGGGGAAUAUUGGACAGUGGGGGGAACCCUGAUCCAGCCAUGCCGCGUGUGUGAAGAAGGCCUUAUGGUUGUAAAGCACUUUAAGCGAGAAGGAGGCUCUUUUGGUUAAUACCCAAGAUGAGUGGACGUUACUCGCAGAAUAAGCACCGGCUAACUCUGUGCCAGCCGCCGCGGUAA